rnacentral:rRNA from 1 species
GAUGAACGCUGGCGGCGUGCUUAACACAUGCAAGUCGAACGAAGCACUUUAUUUGAUUUCCUUCGGGACUGAUUAUUUUGUGACUGAGUGGCGGACGGGUGAGUAACGCGUGGGUAACCUGCCUUGUACAGGGGGAUAACAGUUGGAAACGGCUGCUAAUACCGCAUAAGCGCACAGCAUCGCAUGAUGCAGUGUGAAAAACUCCGGUGGUAUAGGCUGGACCCGCGUUGGAUUAGCUAGUUGGUGAGGUAACGGCCCACCAAGGCGACGAUCCAUAGCCGACCUGGGAGGGUGACCGGCCACAGUGGGACUGAGACACGGCCCAAACUCCUACGGGAGGCAGCAGUGGGUAAUAGUGCACAAUGGGCGAAAGCCUGAUGCAGCGACGCCGCGUGAGCGAAGAAGUAUUUCGGUAUGUAAAGCUCUAUCAGCAGGGAAGAUAAUGACGGUACCUAACUAAGAAGCACCGGCUAAAUACGUG